rnacentral:rRNA from 1 species
GGGUUGUGAGGUUAAGCGAAUAAGCGUACACGGUGGAUGCCUAGGCAAUCAGAGGCGAUGAAGGACGUGCUAAUCUGCGAAAAGCGUCGGUAAGGUGAUAUGAACCGUUAUACCCGACGAUAUCCGAAUGGGGAAACCCAGUAUCCAAUGGAUACUAUCAUUAACUGAAUCCAUAGGUUAAUGAGGCGAACCGGGAGAACUGAAACAUCUCAGUACCCCGAGGAAAAGAAAUCAACCGAGAUUCCCCUAGUAGCGGCGAGCGAACGGGGAGCAGCCCAGAGUCUUAAUCAAUAGCAGUGUCAGGAGAACGGUCUGGAAAGUCCGGCAGUAAAGGGUGAUAGCCCCGUAUCUGAAGAUGCUGUUAUUGUGAACUCGACGAGUAGGGCGGGACACGUGUUAUCCUGUCUGAAUAUGGGGGGACCAUCCUCCAAGGCUAAAUACUCCUGAUUGACCGAUAGUGAACCAGUACCGUGAGGGAAAGGCGAAAAGAACCCCGGCGAGGGGAGUGAAAAAGAACCUGAAACCGUGUACGUACAAGCAGUAGGAGCCUCUUUAUGGGGUGACUGCGUACCUUUUGUAUAAUGGGUCAGCGACUUAUAUUCUGUAGCAAGGUUAACCGUAUAGGGGAGCCGUAGGGAAACCGAGUCUUAACUGGGCGAAUGAGUUGCAGGGUAUAGACCCGAAACCCGGUGAUCUAUCCAUGGGCAGGUUGAAGGUUGGGUAACACUAACUGGAGGACCGAACCGACUAAUGUUGAAAAAUUAGCGGAUGACUUGUGGAUGGGGGUGAAAGGCCAAUCAAACCGGGAGAUAGCUGGUUCUCCCCGAAAGCUAUUUAGGUAGCGCCUCGUGAACUCAUCUUCGGGGGUAGAGCACUGUUUCGACUAGGGGGUCAUCCCGACUUACCAACUCGAUGCAAACUGCGAAUACCGAAGAAUGUUAUCACGGGAGACACACGGCGGGUGCUAACGUCCGUCGUGAAGAGGGAAACAACCCAGACCGCCAGCUAAGGUCCCAAAGUCAUGGUUAAGUGGGAAACGAAGUGGGAAGGCUCAGACAGCCAGGAUGUUGGCUUAGAAGCAGCCAUCAUUUAAAGAAAGCGUAAUAGCUCACUGGUCGAGUCGGCCCGCGCGGAAGAUGUAACGGGGCUAAACCAUGCACCGAAGCUGCGGCAGCGACACAAAGUGUUGUUGGGUAGGGGAGCGUUCUGUAAGCCUGCGAAGGUGUACUGUGAGGUAUGCUGGAGGUAUCAGAAGUGCGAAUGCUGACAUAAGUAACGAUAAUGCGGGUGAAAAACCCGCACGCCGGAAGACCAAGGGUUCCUGUCCAACGUUAAUCGGGGCAGGGUGAGUCGACCCCUAAGGCGAGGCUGAAAAGCGUAGUCGAUGGGAAACGGGUUAAUAUUCCCGUACUGGUGGUAACUGCGAUGGGGGAACGGAGAAGGCUAGGUUGUCCGGGCGACGGUCGUCCCGGUUCAAGCAGGUAGGCAGAGUGAUUAGGCAAAUCCGGUCACUUAAUGCUGAGAUGUGAUGACGAACCACCAAGGUGGUGAAGCAAUUGAUGCCCCGCUUCCAGGAAAAGCCUCUAAGCUUCAGGUUACCAACAAUCGUACCCCAAACCGACACAGGUGGUCAGGUAGAGAAUACUCAGGCGCUUGAGAGAACUCGGGUGAAGGAACUAGGCAAAAUGGUGCCGUAACUUCGGGAGAAGGCACGCUGGCGGUAGGUAAAGUCCCUCGCGGACGGCGCUGAAGCCAGUCGAAGAUACCAGCUGGCUGCAACUGUUUAUUAAAAACACAGCACUGUGCAAACACGAAAGUGGACGUAUACGGUGUGACGCCUGCCCGGUGCUGGAAGGUUAAUUGAUGGGGUCAGCGUAAGCGAAGCUCCUGAUCGAAGCCCCAGUAAACGGCGGCCGUAACUAUAACGGUCCUAAGGUAGCGAAAUUCCUUGUCGGGUAAGUUCCGACCUGCACGAAUGGCGUAAUGAUGGCCAGGCUGUCUCCACCCGAGACUCAGUGAAAUUGAACUCGCUGUGAAGAUGCAGUGUACCCGCGGCAAGACGGAAAGACCCCGUGAACCUUUACUAUAGCUUGACACUGAACAUUGAGCCUUGAUGUGUAGGAUAGGUGGGAGGCUUUGAAGUGUGGACGCCAGUCUGCAUGGAGCCAACCUUGAAAUACCACCCUUUAACGUUUGAUGUUCUAACCUAGGCCCAUAAACUGGGUCGGGGACCGUGUCUGGUGGGUAGUUUGACUGGGGCGGUCUCCUCCUAAAGAGUAACGGAGGAGCACGAAGGUUGGCUAAGCAUGGUCGGACAUCAUGCGGUUAGUGCAAAGGCAUAAGCCAGCUUGACUGCGAGAGUGACGGCUCGAGCAGGUACGAAAGUAGGUCUUAGUGAUCCGGUGGUUCUGAAUGGAAGGGCCAUCGCUCAACGGAUAAAAGGUACUCCGGGGAUAACAGGCUGAUACCGCCCAAGAGUUCAUAUCGACGGCGGUGUUUGGCACCUCGAUGUCGGCUCAUCACAUCCUGGGGCUGAAGUAGGUCCCAAGGGUAUGGCUGUUCGCCAUUUAAAGUGGUACGCGAGCUGGGUUUAGAACGUCGUGAGACAGUUCGGUCCCUAUCUGCCGUGGGCGUUGGAAGAUUGAGAGGGGUUGCUCCUAGUACGAGAGGACCGGAGUGAACGCACCACUGGUGUUCGGGUUGUCAUGCCAAUGGCAUUGCCCGGUAGCUAAGUGCGGAAGAGAUAACCGCUGAAAGCAUCUAAGCGGGAAACUUGCCUCGAGAUGAGUCUUCCCUGUCGCUUUAAGCGACCUAAAGGAACGUUUAAGACUAAGACGUUGAUAGGCUGGGUGUGUAAGCGUAGCGAUACGUUGAGCUAACCAGUACUAAUGAACCGUGAGGCUUAACCUGACAACACCGAAAGUGUUUUG